rnacentral:rRNA from 1 species
ACUCCUACGGGAGGCAGCAGUGGGGAAUAUUGCACAAUGGGCGCAAGCCUGAUGCAGCCAUGCCGCGUGUAUGAAGAAGGCCUUCGGGUUGUAAAGCACUUUCAGUUGUGAGGAAAGGUUAGUCGCUAAUAUCGGCUAGCUGUUGACGUUAGCAACAGAAGAAGCACCGGCUAACUCCGUGCCAGCAGCCGCGGUAAUACGGAGGGUGCGAGCGUUAAUCGGAAUUACUGGGCGUAAAGCGCGUGUAGGUGGCUUUGUUAAGCCAGAUGUGAAAGCCCCGGGCUCAGCCUGGAACUGGCAUUUGGAACUGGGCAGGUCUAAG